rnacentral:tRNA from 1 species
GCCUGGGUGGCUCAGUUGGUUGAGCCUCUGACUUCAGCUCAGGUAGUGAUCUCACUGUCCAUGGGUUUGAUCCCCACAUCAGGCU